rnacentral:rRNA from 1 species
UACGUAGGUGGCAAGCGUUGUUCGGAAUUAUUGGGCGUAAAGGGCGCGUAGGCGGUUUGUUAAGUCGGCUGUGAAAGCCUGGGGCUCAACCCCAGAGGGUCGGCCGAUACUGGCAAACUAGAGUACGGAAGAGGUAGCUGGAAUUCCCGGUGUAGCGGUGGAAUGCGCAGAUAUCAGGAGGAACACCGGUGGCGAAGGCGGGUCUCUGGGCAGUAACUGACGCUGAGGAGCGAAAGCGUGGGGAGCGAACAGG